AGGAGGAACAGCCCCAGUGGCGGGGCCAGCUCUGGAAACCUGGAUUCAGCUCCGGCAGGAGCUCCGUCUGCAGGGCCUGGAGGCUCCGGGCGGGG
rnacentral:pre_miRNA from 1 species